UACGGAGGGUCCAAGCGUUAUCCGGAAUCAUUGGGUUUAAAGGGUCCGUAGGCGGUUUUGUAAGUCAGUGGUGAAAGCCCAUCGCUCAACGGUGGAACGGCCAUUGAUACUGCAAGACUUGAAUUACUAGGAAGUAACUAGAAUAUGUAGUGUAGCGGUGAAAUGCUUAGAGAUUACAUGGAAUACCAAUUGCGAAGGCAGGUUACUACUAGUGGAUUGACGCUGAUGGACGAAAGCGUGGGGAGCGAACAGG
rnacentral:rRNA from 1 species